rnacentral:rRNA from 2 species
GUUGGGUAGGGGAGCGUUCUGUAAGCCUGCGAAGGUGGCCUGUGAGGGUUGCUGGAGGUAUCAGAAGUGCGAAUGCUGACAUAAGUAACGAUAAAGCGGGUGAAAAGCCCGCUCGCCGGAAGACCAAGGGUUCCUGUCCAACGUUAAUCGGGGCAGGGUGAGUCGACCCCUAAGGCGAGGCCGAAAGGCGUAGUCGAUGGGAAACGGGUUAAUAUUCCCGUACUUGGUGUUACUGCGAAGGGGGGACGGAGAAGGCUAUGUUGGCCGGGCGACGGUUGUCCCGGUUUAAGCGUGUAGGUGUGUGUUCCAGGUAAAUCCGGUUCACUUUAACACUGAGGCGUGAUGACGAGGCACUACGGUGCUGAAGCAACAAAUGCCCUGCUUCCAGGAAAAGCCUCUAAGCAUCAGGUAACAUCAAAUCGUACCCCAAACCGACACAGGUGGUCAGGUAGAGAAUACCAAGGCGCUUGAGAGAACUCGGGUGAAGGAACUAGGCAAAAUGGUGCCGUAACUUCGGGAGAAGGCACGCUGACACGUAGGUGAAGUGAUUUACUCAUGGAGCUGAAGUCAGUCGAAGAUACCAGCUGGCUGCAACUGUUUAUUAAAAACACAGCACUGUGCAAACACGAAAGUGGACGUAUACGGUGUGACGCCUGCCCGGUGCCGGAAGGUUAAUUGAUGGGGUCAGCGCAAGCGAAGCUCCUGAUCGAAGCCCCGGUAAACGGCGGCCGUAACUAUAACGGUCCUAAGGUAGCGAAAUUCCUUGUCGGGUAAGUUCCGACCUGCACGAAUGGCGUAAUGAUGGCCAGGCUGUCUCCACCCGAGACUCAGUGAAAUUGAACUCGCUGUGAAGAUGCAGUGUACCCGCGGCAAGACGGAAAGACCCCGUGAACCUUUACUAUAGCUUGACACUGAACAUUGAGCCUUGAUGUGUAGGAUAGGUGGGAGGCUUUGAAGUGUGGACGCCAGUCUGCAUGGAGCCGACCUUGAAAUACCACCCUUUAAUGUUUGAUGUUCUAACGUGGACCCGUAAUCCGGGUUGCGGACAGUGUCUGGUGGGUAGUUUGACUGGGGCGGUCUCCUCCUAAAGAGUAACGGAGGAGCACGAAGGUUGGCUAAUCCUGGUCGGACAUCAGGAGGUUAGUGCAAUGGCAUAAGCCAGCUUGACUGCGAGCGUGACGGCGCGAGCAGGUGCGAAAGCAGGUCAUAGUGAUCCGGUGGUUCUGAAUGGAAGGGCCAUCGCUCAACGGAUAAAAGGUACUCCGGGGAUAACAGGCUGAUACCGCCCAAGAGUUCAUAUCGACGGCGGUGUUUGGCACCUCGAUGUCGGCUCAUCACAUCCUGGGGCUGAAGUAGGUCCCAAGGGUAUGGCUGUUCGCCAUUUAAAGUGGUACGCGAGCUGGGUUUAGAACGUCGUGAGACAGUUCGGUCCCUAUCUGCCGUGGGCGCUGGAGAACUGAGGGGGGCUGCUCCUAGUACGAGAGGACCGGAGUGGACGCAUCACUGGUGUUCGGGUUGUCAUGCCAAUGGCACUGCCCGGUAGCUAAAUGCGGAAGAGAUAAGUGCUGAAAGCAUCUAAGCACGAAACUUGCCCCGAGAUGAGUUCUCCCUGAGACUU